rnacentral:rRNA from 1 species
CGUCUAUAUACGUAUAGCAUAUCAAUAAGCGGAGGAAAAGAAACUAACUAGGAUUCCCUCAGUAACGGCGAGUGAAGCGGGAAGAGCUCAAAUUUGAAAUCUUCAAGGUUUUACCUUGACGAAUUGUAGUUUAAAGAAGUGUUUUCUGUUGGAAUUUUGGUAAAAGUUCUUUGGAAAAAGACAUCAAAGAGGGUGAGAAUCCCGUAUUUGACCAUUAUUUCCAGCUUUGUGAUACACUUUCGAAAGAGUCGGAUUGUUUGGGAAUGCAGUCCAAAAUGGGUGGUAAAUUUCAUCUAAAGCUAAAUACUGGCGAGAGACCGAUAGCGAACAAGUACCGUGAGGGAAAGAUGAAAAGAACUUUGAAAAGAGAGUUAAACAGUACGUGAAAUUGUCAAAAGGGAAGCGUUUGACACCAGUGUUGUUUUCUCGAAAAUCAAUUAAAAAGAUGUGGGAUUUUGUGUUGUAUUGACUUUAUCAGCUUUCUGCACUUUUUUCCUAUCUUCUUUAAUGCACUUUUCGUUUAACAAGUCAACAUCAAUUUCUUUUGUUGUAAAAGAGUCAUUGGAAGGUGGCUUUCUUUUCGGAGAAAGUGUUUAUAGCCUUUGGACUUCUGCAAUCGGAGAGAUUGAGGUCUGCAGCGUAGAUCCUUCGGGGUUAGAUACAUUUGUGCUAAGCUAUAGCCUUUCAUAGACAACUUGUUGACUAUGAUCAGUCAUGUAGCUUACUCGCUUAUGUCAUUUUACCUACGCUUAGGAUGUUGACGAUCAGCUGAGCGCG